GACGAACGCUGGCGGCGUGCUUAACACAUGCAAGUCGAACGGAAAGGCCCUGCUUUUGUGGGGUGCUCGAGUGGCGAACGGGUGAGUAACACGUGAGUAACCUGCCCUUGACUUUGGGAUAACUUCAGGAAACUGGGGCUAAUACCGGAUAGGAGCUCCUGCUGCAUGGUGGGGGUUGGAAAGUUUCGGCGGUUGGGGAUGGACUCGCGGCUUAUCAGCUUGUUGGUGGGGUAGUGGCUUACCAAGGCUUUGACGGGUAGCCGGCCUGAGAGGGUGACCGGUCACAUUGGGACUGAGAUACGGCCCAGACUCCUACGGGAGGCAGCAGUGGGGAAUAUUGCACAAUGGGCGGAAGCCUGAUGCAGCAACGCCGCGUGCGGGAUGACGGCCUUCGGGUUGGAAACCGCUUUCGCCUGUGACGAAGCGUGAGUGACGGUAAUGGGUAAAGAAGCACCGGCGAACUACGG
rnacentral:rRNA from 1 species